AUUAGCUAGUUGGUGGGGUAAUGGCCUACCAAGGCGACGAUCAGUAGCGGGUCUGAGAGGAUGAUCCGCCACACUGGAACUGAGACACGGUCCAGACUCCUACGGGAGGCAGCAGUGGGGAAUUUUGGACAAUGGGGGCAACCCUGAUCCAGCCAUUCCGCGUGAGUGAAGAAGGCCUUCGGGUUGUAAAGCUCUUUCAGCUGGAACGAAACGGUACGCUCUAACAUAGCGUGCUAAUGACGGUACCAGCAGAAGAAGCACCGGCUAACUACGUGCCAGCAGCCGCGGUAAUACGUAGGGUGCGAGCGUUAAUCGGAAUUACUGGGCGUAAAGCGUGCGCAGGCGGAUUGUUAAGCAAGAUGUGAAAUCCCCGGGCUUAACCUGGGAAUGGCAUUUUGAACUGGCAGUCUAGAGUGUGUCAGAGGGGGGUGGAAUUCCACGUGUAGCAGUGAAAUGCGUAGAGAUGUGGAGGAACACCGAUGGCGAAGGCAGCCCCCUGGGAUAACACUGACGCUCAUGUACGAAAGCGUGGGUAGCAAACAGGAUUAGAUACCCUGGUAGUCCACGCCCU
rnacentral:rRNA from 1 species